UGCUGAAGUUCCUCAGAUGUUGUGGCGGAGAUGAAUUAUAUCUUGUCACUCCCUCUCUGUGACUGUGUAAUGGAUAUCUAAAUCCUGAUCUGUCCAUCACAAAUUUUAUGGAGAAGAAAGAGAUCAAAACAAAACAGAAUGGAGAGUUACCACACCUACAUAUUCAAGAGAGAGAUUCCAUCAACAAGUAGAAAGCACAGAUGAGAGGGAAACACCAAAUAAUUGAAGGUCCACCAGUCCUGCCAGAAGCCUGGUCCAAUCACAAGGUCACAGUGUCCUUCAGAACACAUCCCCCUGCUCUAGUGUGAGGUCCUCCACAAUCCGCAGGUAUACAUCUGCUCCACCAUGGAACUACUGAAGGGGAACAGCCUGCCUCACCAUGGUCUUCACCAAGGACUGCAGGGGAAGCUCACUGCUCUGGAGCCAGCAAGACCUCACCACAUGUCACUGUUGGACACAAAAUUAUUCACACAGACACAGCUCAAUGUGUGAUAAAAGAAGAGAGCCCUUUAUUCUGUUGUUUCGGUAUUUAUAGAUUCUCAACAAC